rnacentral:rRNA from 1 species
GACGAACGCUGGCGGCGUGCUUAACACAUGCAAGUCGAACGGAAAGGCCCUGCUUGCAGGGUACUCGAGUGGCGAACGGGUGAGUAACACGUGGGUGAUCUGCCCUGCACUUCGGGAUAAGCUUGGGAAACUGGGUCUAAUACCGGAUAGGAACCAUCUUUAGUGUGGUGGUUGGAAAGUUUUUUCGGUGUAGGAUGAGCUCGCGGCCUAUCAGCUUGUUGGUGGGGUAAUGGCCUACCAAGGCGGCGACGGGUAGCCGGCCUGAGAGGGUGUACGGCCACAUUGGGACUGAGAUACGGCCCAGACUCCUACGGGAGGCAGCAGUGGGGAAUAUUGCACAAUGGGCGCAAGCCUGAUGCAGCGACGCCGCGUGGGGGAUGAAGGCCUUCGGGUUGUAAACUCCUUUCGCUAGGGACGAAGCGUUUUUGUGACGGUACCUAGAGAAGAAGCACCGGCUAACUACGUG